rnacentral:rRNA from 1 species
ACCAAGCGAUCGCAAGAUCGUUUUAUGGUUGAACUCUAGAUAACAUGCAGAUCGUAUGGUCUUGUACCGACGACAGAUCUUUCAAAUGUCUGCCCUAUCAACUUUUGAUGGUAGUAUCUAGGACUACCAUGGUUGCAACGGGUAACGGGGAAUCAGGGUUCGAUUCCGGAGAGGGAGCCUGAGAAACGGCUACCACAUCUAAGGAAGGCAGCAGGCGCGUAAAUUACCCACUCCCAGCUCGGGGAGGUAGUGACGAAAAAUAACAUUACAGGACUCAUAUCCGAGGCCCUGUAAUUGGAAUGAGUACACUUUAAAUCCUUUAACAAGGACCAAUUGGAGGGCAAGUCUGGUGCCAGCAGCCGCAGUUGUUGCGGUUAAAACGUUCGUAGUUGAACUUGUGCUUCAUACGGGUAGUACAACUUACAAUUGUGGUUAGUACUAUACCUUUAUGUAUGUAAGCGUAUUACCGGUGGAGUUCUUACAUGUGAUUAAAUACUUGUAUUUUUUCAUAUGUUCCUCCUAUUUAAAAACCUGCAUUAGUGCUCUUAAACGAGUGUUAUUGUGGGCCGGUACUAUUACUUUGAACAAAUUAGAGUGCUUAAAGCAGGCUUCAAAUGCCUGAAUAUUCUGUGCAUGGGAUAAUGAAAUAAGACCUCUGUUCUGCUUUCAUUGGUUUUCAGAUCAAGAGGUAAUGAUUAAUAGAAGCAGUUUGAAGGCAUUAGUAUUACGACGCGAGAGGUGAAAUUCUUGGAGCGUCGUAGGACUAACUUAAGCGAAAGCAUUUGCCAAAGAUGUUUUCAUUAAUCAAGAACGAAAGUUAGAGGUUCGAAGGCGAUCAGAUACCGCCCUAGUUCUAACCAUAAACGAUGCCAGCUAGCAAUUGGGUGUAGCUACUUUUAUGGCUCUCUCAGUCGCUUCCCGGGAAACCAAAGCUUUUGGGCUCCGGGGGAAGUAUGAAAGCUGAAACUUAAAGGAAUUGACGGAAGGGCACCACCAGGAGUGGAGCCUGCGGCUUAAUUUGACUCAGCACGGGAAAACUUACCAGGUCCGAACAUAAGUGUGUAAGACAGAUUGAUAGCUCUUUCUCGAAUCUAUGGGUGGUGGUGCAUGGCCGUUCUUAGUUCGUGGAGUGUUUUGUCUGGUUAAUUCCGAAAACGAACGAGACUCAAAUAUAUUAAAUAGAUAUCUUCAGGAUUAUGGUGCUGAAGCUUAUAUAGCCUUCAUUCGUGGUGUCAGUAAAAUGUUUAUUGUGUUUGAAUGUGUUUAUGU